AUUCCAAGGAGAUAUUCCUA
rnacentral:snRNA from 1 species